rnacentral:rRNA from 1 species
CCAGGAGGUUGGCUUAGAAGCAGCCACCCUUUAAAGAGUGCGUAAUAGCUCACUGGUCAAGUGAUUCCGCGCCGACAAUGUAGCGGGGCUCAAGUACACCGCCGAAGCUGUGGCAUUCAUGCGUUAGCCCCACCCCGCAAGGGGUGCAGGUGUGUGGAUGGGUAGGGGAGCGUCGUGUGUGGGGUGAAGCGGCCGAGUGAUCGUGUCGUGGACUGCACACGAGUGAGAAUGCAGGCAUGAGUAGCGAAUGACGGGUGAGAAUCCCGUCCGCCGAUUGACCAAGGGUUCCAGGGCUAGGUUCAUCCGCCCUGGGUAAGUCGGGACCUAAGGCGAGGCCGACAGGCGUAGUCGAUGGACAACGGGUUGAUAUUCCCGUACCGGCGUAGAACCGCCCAUGCUGAACCCGGUGAUGCUGAGCACCCAAAGCCCCACUGACCUUCGGGUUGGUGGUGGUGGAGCGUGCGACCCGAACCGGUAGUAGGCAAGCGUAUUAACAGGGGUGACGCAGGAGGGUAGCUUCCGCGUGGCGAUGGUUGUCCACGUCCAAGGGUGUAGGGCGGUCUGUAGGCAAAUCCGCAGACCUGACUUCAAUGUCGUGCUUGAGACCUGAUGGUGACCCCGUAGGGGGGAAGUAGGGUGAUCCCAUGCUGCCUAGAAAAGCCUCGGCGCGAGGUUCGAGCCGCCCGUACCCUAAACCGACUCAGGUGGUCAGGUAGAGAAUACUGAGGCGACGAGUGAAUCGUGGUUAAGGAACUCGGCAAAAUGCCCCCGUAACUUCGGGAGAAGGGGGGCCUGAGGGGUGAAGCCACUUGCUGGCUAGCUCUUGAGGGCCGCAGAGACCAGGGAGAAGCGACUGUUUACUAAAAACACAGGUCCGUGCGAAGUCGCAAGACGAUGUAUACGGACUGACGCCUGCCCGGUGCUGGAACGUUAAGGGGACCGGUUACUCAACGUAAGUUGGGGACGCUGAGAACUUAAGCGCCAGUAAACGGCGGUGGUAACUAUAACCAUCCUAAGGUAGCGAAAUUCCUUGUCGGGUAAGUUCCGACCUGCACGAAUGGCGUAACGACUUCUCCGCUGUCUCAACCGCGAACUCGGCGAAAUUGCACUACGAGUAAAGAUGCUCGUUACGCGCAGCAGGACGGAAAGACCCCGGGACCUU